rnacentral:rRNA from 1 species
CCUACGGGAGGCAGCAGUCGAGAAUCAUUCACAAUGGGGGAAACCCUGAUGGUGCGACGCCGCGUGGGGGAAUGAAGGUCUUCGGAUUGUAAACCCCUGUCAUGUGGGAGCAAACUAAAAAGAUAGUACCACAAGAGGAAAAGACGGCUAACUCUGUGCCAGCAGCCGCGGUAAUACAGAGGUCUCAAGCGUUGUUCGGAAUCACUGGUCGUAAAGCGUGCGUAGGCUGUUUCGUAAGUCGUGUGUGAAAGGCGGGGGCUCAACCCGCGGACGGCACAUGAUACUGCGAGACUAGAGUAAUGGAGGGGGAACCGGAAUGCUCGGUGUAGCAGUGAAAUGCGUAGAUAUCGAGAGGAACACUCGUGGCGAAGGCGGGUUCCUGGACAUUAACUGACGCUGAGGCACGAAGGCCAGAGGAGCGAAAGGGAUUAGAUACCCCAGUAGUC